AAAUGAAUAGACGGGGGCCCGCACAAGCAGUGGAGUAUGUGGUUUAAUUCGAAGCAACGCGAAGAACCUUACCAAGGCUUGACAUAUAGGUCGAUAACAUAGAGAUAUGUUAGCCCUUCGGGGGACUUAUACAGGUGGUGCAUGGUUGUCGUCAGCUCGUGUCGUGAGAUGUUGGGUUAAGUCCCGCAACGAGCGCAACCCCUGCUGUUAGUUGCCAACGCGUAAAGGCGGGCACUCUAGCGGGACUGCCGGUGGCAAAUCGGAGGAAGGUGGGGACGACGUCAAAUCAUCAUGCCCCUUAUGUCUUGGGCUACACACGUACUACAAUGGGCGCAACAGAGGGAAGCCAACCCGAGAGGGGGAGCGGAUCCCAUAAAAGCGUCCUCAGUUCGGAUUGUGGGCUGCAACCCGCCCACAUGAAGUCGGAAUUGCUAGUAAUCGCAGGUCAGCAUACUGCGGUGAAUACGUUCCCGGGCCUUGUACACACCGCCCGU
rnacentral:rRNA from 1 species